UAGGUCACUGUAGCAGUUCAUGUCGUUCUCCAGGGAAACCAGGUCACUGUGUUAGUUCUUGUCAGUCUCCAGGGCAACCAGGACGCGUCUACUGAGGGGAUCCUGCUAGUGACUGAGAAACACGUUUCUAUCCACCAAUGGCCAGCCGGGGAACAGGCUUCCCGCUCCAUCAACCGCCUCUGCGCGUAUUUGUACGAGGCACAGAGAACAGGCACAGGUGCACAUUCAGCCACAGUGAAUUGAAGGGAUAACAUCACGAGGAGAUUGCUGGGGGAUUUCAGGACGAAGAGGAGACAUUGCUCCAGCCAGAGGAUGGUCGGUGUGAACUCGGCUUUGUUUCCAUCAUGUGUCACGAUGAGGCAGUGCUGUGUUAGCUGACUGUUCUCACUUCAGCUGUUACACACUUCCAUGUCACCACACGUGACUGACUACCUGACCACGAUGGAAUAAGAUAAAUAAAUACA